rnacentral:rRNA from 1 species
GAUGAACGCUGGCGGCGUGCCUAAUACAUGCAAGUCGAGCGAACAGACGAGGAGCUUGCUCCUCUGAUGUUAGCGGCGGACGGGUGAGUAACACGUGGAUAACCUACCUAUAAGACUGGGAUAACUUCGGGAAACCGGAGCUAAUACCGGAUAACAUGUUGAACCGCAUGGUUCAACAGUGAAAGACGGUCUUGCUGUCACUUAUAGAUGGAUCCGCGCCGCAUUAGCUAGUUGGUAAGGUAACGGCUUACCAAGGCAACGAUGCGUAGCCGACCUGAGAGGGUGAUCGGCCACACUGGAACUGAGACACGGUCCAGACUCCGACGGGAGGCAGCAGUAGGGAAUCUUCCGCAAUGGGCGAAAGCCUGACGGAGCAACGCCGCGUGAGUGAAGAAGGUCUUCGGAUCGUAAAACUCUGUUAUUAGGGAAGAACAAAUGUGUAAGUAACUAUGCACGUCUUGACGGUACCUAAUCAGAAAGCCACGGCUAACUACGUG